CCUACGGGCGGCAGCAGUGGGGAAUGUUGGACAAUGGGGGCAACCCUGAUCCAGCCAUGCCGCGUGUGUGAAGAAGGCCCUCGGGUUGUAAAGCACUUUCAGUGAGGAAGAACGCCUGGUGGUUAAUACCCAUCAGGAAAGACAUCACUCACAGAAGAAGCACCGGCUAACUCCGUGCCAGCAGCCGCGGUAAUACGGAGGGUGCGAGCGUUAAUCGGAAUUACUGGGCGUAAAGCGCGCGUAGGUGGCUUGAUAAGCCGGUUGUGAAAGCCCCGGGCUCAACCUGGGAACGGCAUCCGGAACUGUCAAGCUAGAGUGCAGGAGAGGAAGGUAGAAUUCCCGGUGUAGCGGUGAAAUGCGUAGAGAUCGGGAGGAAUACCAGUGGCGAAGGCGGCCUUCUGGACUGACACUGACACUGAGGUGCGAAAGCGUGGGUAGCAAACAGGAUUAGAUACCCUUGUAGUC
rnacentral:rRNA from 1 species